AAUGAACGCUGGCGGCGCGCCUAAUACAUGCAAGUCGAGCGAGAAGACGUAGCAAUACGUUUGUAAAGCGGCGAACGGGUGAGGAAUACAUGGGUAACCUACCCUCGAGUGGGGAAGUAACUAGCCGAAGGUUAGCUAAUACCGCGUACGCUUCUUGGACUUCGGUUUCAGGGAGGAAAGCGAUGCCCGAGGGUAUCGCGCUCUUGGAUGGGCUCAUGUCCUAUCAGCUUGNGG
rnacentral:rRNA from 1 species